rnacentral:rRNA from 1 species
CAGUCGCCGCGGUAAAACCAGCAGCCCAAGUGGUGGUCGCGUUUAUUGGGCCUAAAGCGCUCGUAGCCUGGCCGGUAAGUUCCCCGUGAAAUCGGGUCGCCCAACGAUUCGGCUUGCGGGGAAUACUGUCGGUCUUGGGGCCGGGAGACGCCGAGGGUACUCCGGGGGUAGCGGUGAAAUGCUGUAAUCCUCGGGGGACUACCAGUGGCGAAGGCGCUCGGCGAUAACGGGCCUGACGGUGAGGGGCGAAAGCUGGGGGCGCGAACGGGAUUAGAUACCCCAGUAGUCCCUGUCUCUUAUU